rnacentral:lncRNA from 1 species
UUAUACAACAUCAACAAUUAUGAAAAACUUUUAUUCCAACAUAUUGUAAUAAAAAAUUCACAAAAAUAAUAACCAGUAUAAAUACAAUUGUAUGCAAAUGUCCUUGGUCAGAAGUCUGCUGUUCAGUAGUUGUCGUUUGUUGUUAUGGUUCAUAAGUGUUUCUCGUUUCUCAUUUUGUAUACAAAUUAGGCUGCUGCUUUCCUGUUUAAAUUGUUUUUCACUAGUCAUUUUGGGGCCCUUGAUAGCUUGCAGUUCGGUGUGAGCCAAAUUAUGAAUGCGUGUUGAAGUCCGUACUUUAACCUGUAAUUGUUAACUUUAUAUAUAUACAUUGUUAUUUCGAUGGAGAGUUGUCUCAAUGGCACUAAUACCACAUCUUCUUAUUUAUAUGUAUAUAUAAAAACUAACAAAUCCUUGCAAAAAAUACAUACUCAGUAUACUAUUUGCAGUUAUAAUUAUAUGAAAACCGUUUUAUAAUAUUUAUUUCCACCUAUGUUGUCGAAUGCACAAGUCUUUUUGGAUUACGCUUCACCAAAGCCUUCCAUUGGUAACGAUCAAGUUGUUGCAUUUCUUAUUAAGUUGAUUGAGUUGAAAUUUGGUAAUCAAUUGUGAUCAAUAGUAUCGAUCGUUACGAUCAAGUGUUUGUAAUUUCGUAUUGAGUUGAUUGAGUUGAUUUUUGGUAAUCAAUCGUGA